GACGAACGCUGGCGGCGUGCUUAACACAUGCAAGUCGAACGGAAAGGCCCUGCUUUUGUGGGGUACUCGAGUGGCGAACGGGUGAGUAACACGUGAGUAACCUGCCCUUGACUUUGGGAUAACUUCAGGAAACUGGGGCUAAUACCGGAUAGGAGCUCCUGCUGCAUGGUGGGGGUUGGAAAGUUUCGGCGGUUGGGGAUGGACUCGCGGCUUAUCAGCUUGUUGGUGGGGUAGUGGCUUACCAAGGCUUUGACGGGUAGCCGGCCUGAGAGGGUGACCGGCCACAUGGGGACUGAGAUACGGCCCAGACCCCUGCGGGGGGCAGCAGUGGGGAAUAGUGCACAAGGGCGGAAGCCUGAUGCAGCAACGCCGCGUGCGGGAUGACGGCCUUCGGGUUGUAACCCGCUUUCGCCUGUGACGAAGCGUGAGUGACGGUAAUGGGUAAAGAAGCACCGGCUAACUACGUG
rnacentral:rRNA from 1 species